UUGCUCUCUGGGUGACGAGCGGCGGACGGGUGAGUAAUGUCUGGGAAACUGCCUGAUGGCGGGGGAUAACUAGUGGAAACGGUAGCUAAUACCGCAUAACGUCGCAAGACCAAAGUGGGGGACCUUCGGGCCUCACGCCAUCAGAUGUGCCCAGGUGGGAUUAGCUGGUAGGUGGGGUAACGGCUCACCUAGGCGACGAUCCCUAGCUGGUCUGAGAGGAUGACCAGCCACACUGGAACUGAGACACGGUCCAGACUCCUACGGGAGGCAGCAGUGGGGAAUA
rnacentral:rRNA from 1 species